ACUACGCGGAAGGAUACAUAUUAAGUAUCGCGAUGGCGCCUUGAUUAAAGUUAUCCGUUAAUUGCUGCAUCAGCACUCCUCCUGUUCGCCCCACGGCACCUGUCUGACACGAGCGAGGCCCUGACGAACUACCUGCGUCUGCUCAGGAUUGUGAAUGAGUCACAUCCUCCAAAGUCUUGACCUUGUGAAAAAAAAGAAAAAAAAAAGGCAGUUUGCUCAGCUUCCAGGAAUCCAGUGUGGGAUUCCCCCCUCCCCCUCUCCUCAACCCUCUCCUCCCCACUCCUUCCCCCCUCCAUGCUGCUUGUCUGCCAUGUUGCUCAACACCGGGCCCUCAGGCUGCUCGUCUCGCAUACCUCCAUGUUGCUCUGCACUCGCACUGAACCCCGACGGAGCUGCUGAUUGGACAGGGGAGGGGAAGAGAGCGUGUACCUGCCAGGUGGAGGUGAAUACAGCUUCUUUAUUGGCUGGUUAGGAGUGAAAUAGAGUAUUAGGACUCCUCCUUCUCUCUUUUAUCUACUUAAAAAGCACCGGUGGAAACAGCUGAGGAGUAAAAAAGAGAAGGGAUUAUACGAGUAGUGGACAACACGUUGCCUCAAGGAGUCGAGCAGCUGAUUCUAAUCACAGAGUUACGGCGUGUGUUUCCUGGCAAAAUCGACACCACAGAUUGAUCGCUCAGACGUGCAGCAAAGAUGGCCUCCGUCGCUCCGUUCAGCCGCAGACAGUGGGCGUCCCAAUCCCUCAGGGUCACCGCCAAGGAAAUGUCCAUCGUCACAGCCCGAGGGAAAAACAACGCCAUCGCCGAGCGUUUCUCCAAGUGAGUCUAACCUCUCCUCUCCUCUUAC